CCCUAUUAUAUUUAUUAAUAAAUAAUUAUGAGGUAGUAAAUGUUAGAUUCAGGAAACUUAAAGAAUUUGGCGGUGUUUAUUCUUAUUAGAGGAAUAUGUUUUUUAAAUGAUAAUCCACAAAAAUCUUACUUAAUUUAAAUAAUUUUGUAUAUCUCCGUCUAAAAAGGUUUUUUAGAAAUAUAUUUUGAAUAAUUUAAAAAUUAUAAGUCAGGUCAAGGUGCAGAUUAUAAUUAAGAUAAAAUGUAUUACAUUAAAAUUAUUUAUGGAAUUAUUAUGAAAUAUAAUAGAUAAAAUGGAUUUAAUAGUAAAUUUGUUUAUAUAAUAAUAAAUUGAAUAAAGUAAAUAAACAUGCACACAUCGCCC
rnacentral:rRNA from 1 species